rnacentral:lncRNA from 1 species
AUCCAAUGGGGUGUUCUUGGGGUACAGAGGAGGAUCUGUGACAGUCCAGAGAGAGAGAAAGGAAAAGGUGGCUUUGAAGAGAAGGCGUUGUAACAUCUCACUAAGCCCAGCACUCAGGCGAUGUGGCUUUCCUGCUAUGGCACUGCACACAAGAAGAAUGUUGACAUAUUCCUGGCCCAGAAUUCAGGUGGUUUGGUGACUCUCAAACCAUGAUUCAGCAGACCUGUGAGGCUGUGAGUUCCCUAUCAGAACACAAUCUGCAGGUUGUAUUGUGCCAUAUACCUGGGACCAAAUUACAAGCACAAUGAUGAAUCUUUUACCUGGAGUCAAGACAUGGGCAGGAUGAUGGAACUUAUCACUGGACCUUUCCACAGUGUUAUUGUGACAUAUGCCUUUGCCCAACAUGUGGUGAUUUGACUCCCCAGACUGGGUCCAGUUCACAAAUAAAAUUGUGCCGUAUACUUGGCCAAGAACCUAA